UACGAAGGGGUCUAGCGUUGUUCGGAAUUCCUGGGCGUAAAGCGCACGUAGGCGGACUAUUCAGUCAGGGGUGAAAUCCCGGGGCUCAACCCCGGAACUGCCUUUGAUACUGCUAGUCUCGAGUCCGGAAGAGGUGAGUGGAAUUCCGAGUGUAGAGGUGAAAUUCGUAGAUAUUCGGAGGAACACCAGUGGCGAAGGCGGCUCACUGGUCCGGUACUGACGCUGAGGUGCGAAAGCGUGGGGAGCAAACAGG
rnacentral:rRNA from 1 species